rnacentral:rRNA from 1 species
GAUAAACGCUAGCGGCAGGCUUAACACAUGCAAGUCGAGGGGCAGCAUAGAUUGUAGCAAUACAAUUGGUGGCGACCGGCGCACGGGUGCGUAACGCGUAUGCAACCUACCCGUCACAGGGGGAUAAUCCGGAGAAAUCUGGUCUAAUACCCCAUAACAUAUGGAUCGGCAUCGGUGCAUGUUGAAAUUUUCGGAGGUGACGGAUGGGCAUGCGUAGCAUUAGCUUGUUGGUGAGGUAACGGCUCACCAAGGCGACGAUGCUUAGGGGGACUGAGAGGGUUUCCCCCCACACUGGUACUGAGACACGGACCAGACUCCUACGGGAGGCAGCAGUGAGGAAUAUUGGUCAAUGGGCGCAAGCCUGAACCAGCCAUGCCGCGUGCAGGAUGACGGCUCUAUGAGUUGUAAACUGCUUUUGUACGAGGGUAAAGUGGGUUACGUGUAACCUUUUGAAAGUAUCGUACGAAUAAGGAUCGGCUAACUCCGUGCCAGCCGCCGCAGUAA